rnacentral:rRNA from 1 species
AACGUAGGAGACAAACGUUAUCCGGAGUUACUGGGCGUAAAGGGCGUGUAGGUGGUUUCGUAAGUCUGGCGUGAAAUUGCUCGGCUUAACCGGGCGCGGUCGUCGGAUACUGCGGAACUCGAGGACGGUAGAGGCGUGUGGAAUUCCGGGUGUAGUGGUGAAAUGCGUAGAGAUCCGGAGGAACACCAGUGGCGAAGGCGACACGCUGGGCCGUACCUGACACUGAACCGCGACAGCAUGGGGAGCAAACAGG